CAGCAGCAUCCUCCGCUGUUCUACUCUCUCUAUACAGAUUUUUUCUGUGUUUUCUGUCCAGCAGAUCAAGGCUUAUAUUGGAGAUGAAGAAGCUGCUCGUGUUUGACUUCCUUCUCCUCCUCACUGCACUGUUGUCACUUGUGCGUGCACUCAGUGACUCCUGUUCUGUUAUCCACCUUCCAAAUAGCACCAGCUAUCUCCUAGAAGAGGGUGUAGGGUCAUGUGAUAACUACAACUGGCUUAUCAAGGGAACAGUGGUGGCAAAUGAAGACGGCUUUAAUCGCACAUUAGUUCAAAGCCGAGGACGGAGUAACAUUACAUUCUUCUCCUGUUACGACUCUGUUACGUACAAGAAUGUGUGCACACGGG
rnacentral:lncRNA from 1 species